GCCCGAGUGGCGGAAUUGGCAGACGCGCUAGCUUCAGGUGUUAGUGUCUUCGCGGACGUGCAGGUUCAACCCCUGUCUCGGGCACCA
rnacentral:tRNA from 1 species